UACGUAGGGGGCAAGCGUUGUCCGGAUUUAUUGGGCGUAAAGAGCGUGUAGGCGGCUAGGUAGGUCCGUUGUGAAAACUCGAGGCUCAACCUCGAGACGUCGGCGGAAACCAUCUGGCUAGAGUCCGGAAGAGGAGAGUGGAAUUCCUGGUGUAGCGGUGAAAUGCGCAGAUAUCAGGAAGAACACCCGUGGCGAAGGCGGCUCUCUGGGACGGUACUGACGCUGAGACGCGAAAGCGUGGGGAGCGAACAGGG
rnacentral:rRNA from 1 species